rnacentral:rRNA from 1 species
CCUACGGGUGGCAGCAGUGAGGAAUAUUGGUCAAUGGGCGCGAGCCUGAACCAGCCAAGUAGCGUGAAGGAUGACUGCCCUACGGGUUGUAAACUUCUUUUAUAAAGGAAUAAAGUGAGGCACGUGUGCCUUUUUGUAUGUACUUUAUGAAUAAGGAUCGGCUAACUCCGUUCCAGCAGCCGCGGUAAUACGGAGGAUCCGAGCGUUAUCCGGAUUUAUUGGGUUUAAAGGGAGCGUAGAUGGGUUGUUAAGUCAGUUGUGAAAGCUUGCGGCUCAACCGGAAAAUUGCAAUUGAUACUGGCAGUCUAGAGUACAGUUGAGGUAGGUGGAAUUCGAGGUGUAGCGGUGAAAUGCGUAGAUAUCACGAAGAACUCCGAUUGCGAAGGCAGCUUACUAAACUGCCACUGACAUUGAUGCGCGAAAGUGUGGGGAGCAAACAGGAUUAGAUACCCCUGUAGUC